CUGACAUGACUGCUUUAAACAGAAAUGUCUGCAGUUGGCAUGGAAAUAAGUGGCUCGGAAAGAAGCCAGUGAGACGGCGACUUCCUCCUCCUCGCUGGGUAGGUGCAUGUUAAGGUCAAUGUGCGUAGUUGCCAAGUUUUUAAUUACAGCGUUGCUAGGGCCUUUUUGUUAAACAGAGCAUUGUUUGGAAUUGUACAAAUACUAUGACUAUUGUACUGUGUACAAUAAACUUAUCAGUAGCAUUUGCUCUGAUCCCCUGAACCCCGUCUGUGUGAUUUUUUCAUUUCUUCUUGAGCCGCCGUUGACAAGUGGCGCCCAACGGGGCUUGAAGAAACCGAGAUUGGCUUCAACACCUUUGCCUUCAAGACGAAAGAAGAAGUAUGGUGUGUUUCCUGUGCAGGCAUCAGCACCUGAAAUAAGAAAUUCUAGAGAAACUCCUGCUUCGGGACCCCCUGGUUCUUCUGUAAUUUGGCCUCAGGAAGUUACAAUCCUCAUGAUUCUCGUGGUUCAUUAGAUCCAGUUUGUGAAAGUGAAAGAGGUGCUUUGCAGGUGAUACUAAUAGCAUGGAAAUCUUGGUUGGUGGCAAAACAUCACAUGGAACGACAUUCUGCAUCUCAAGCCGUAUUAAGACAACGACCACCCCCAUAGCAGGCGCUUAACUGGUAAGAUGUUCAGAGGAAGACGACCUAAGACGGGCACAGUUACCUUGCUGUAGAAGGGAAGGGGGACAUGUUGGAGUGUUAGCCAGCAUAAAGCUUGCUGGGAUAGUGACAUGACUGCUUUAAACAGAAAUGUCUGCAGUUGGCAUGGAAAUAAGUGGCUCGGAAAGAAGCCAGUGAGACGGCGACUUCCUCCUCCUCGCUGGGCAGGUGCAUGUUAACGUCAAUGUGUGUAGUUGCCAAGUUUCCAAUUACAGCGCUGCUAGGGCCUUUUUGCUAAAUAGAGCAUUGUUUGGAGUUGUACAAAUACUAUGACUUGGUACAAUAAACUUGUCAGUAGCAUUUGCUCUGAUCCCCUGAACCCCGCCU
rnacentral:lncRNA from 1 species